rnacentral:rRNA from 1 species
UACAGAGGUCUCAAGCGUUGUUCGGAUUCAUUGGGCGUAAAGGGUGCGUAGGCGGCGCGGUAAGUCGGGGUGUGAAAUCUCGGAGCUUAACUCCGAAACUGCAUUCGAUACUGCCGUGCUUGAGGACUGGAGAGGAGACUGGAAUUUACGGUGUAGCGGUGAAAUGCGUAGAUAUCGUAAGGAAGACCAGUGGCGAAGGCGGGUCUCUGGACAGUUCCUGACGCUGAGGCACGAAGGUCAGGGGAGCAAAACGGGGAUUAGAAACCCUCU